UUAACCUUGUCACGGGCGGCAGCGGCGAACCUGAGGUGGCCGCUGUAGCAACGGCACUUUCCUCCCUCAGGUGGUAAAAGGGCUUCGUGCCGUUCAGCCUUCCUCAGCCGGGCUGCGGCGAGGCGAGACGCGCCGGUUCCCGGCCCGACCGCCCCUUGCCUUCCCUUCCUCCUGCCCGGUGAGCCGAGCCGCCGGCGGCGGGGAGGCCGGCGCCGCCUUGGUGCCCGGGUGCCGUCGGCGCCGGUCGGGGCCGGCGAGGGGCGAAGCCAGUUACCGCUGGGCGCUUCCCCGCGCUUCAGAGCACAUCGGAGGAGACGGAGAGGUCGCCAUGUCCGGCCGUGCAGGCAUGAACUUACAGAAAUCAUCAUCAUCAAAAAGCAAUGAGAUUCCUAGAUGGGAAAGUGAAGGAGAGGAAGCCUGAAAGACAUUUGCUUUCCUGUCCAGAGUGUUAUAGAAAGGCAGGGGAAAAGUUGCAACUUGCACUCACUAUCAGGUUCCAGUCCUCGUACUUGAUAUGCGACUACUUGAUAUGUACAUAAGGCUAGACACUGCUGCGUUGGAGCCACAUCUGUAUUUACAAUUUUAAUCCAGGCCUCAUAAAUGAUCUGCAGUGAUUCGUCUUCUACCUGAUACGAGCACAAUGUGAGCUUCCCCUUCCUUUACUUGACCUGCAGCUAUACCUUCCUUGAUCUGAGACAGUGUGAAGUAUCAGAUCAGAUAAAACAUGAGAAGAGACUGUGUUGAAUAUGGGACUGACUGCACGUGUAAGCACUUCCAGUGUGGAUCUUCU